rnacentral:rRNA from 1 species
CGUAUCACCCAAGACAACUUUACGGAGUUGACGAUUGACGGAGCGAAGCGACGUCAAAGCGUUCAUUAAAGUCGAGUUGGCUUAGGGAUACGUUCGUUGGGUAGGGGAGCGUUCUGUAAGCCUGUGAAGGUGUGUCGUGAGGCAUGCUGGAGGUAUCAGAAGUGCGAAUGCUGACAUAAGUAACGAUAAAGCGGGUGAAAAGCCCGCUCGCCGGAAGACCAAGGGUUCCUGUCCAACGUUAAUCGGGGCAGGGUGAGUCGACCCCUAAGGCGAGGCCGAAAGGCGUAGUCGAUGGGAAACGGGUUAAUAUUCCCGUACUUGGUGUUACUGCGAAGGGGGGACGGAGAAGGCUAUGUUGGCCGGGCGACGGUUGUCCCGGUUUAAGCGUGUAGGUGUGUGUUCCAGGUAAAUCCGGUUCACUUUAACACUGAGGCGUGACGACGAGGCACUACGGUGCUGAAGCAACAAAUGCCCUGCUUCCAGGAAAAGCCUCUAAGCAUCAGGUAACAUCAAAUCGUACCCCAAACCGACACAGGUGGUCAGGUAGAGAAUACCAAGGCGCUUGAGAGAACUCGGGUGAAGGAACUAGGCAAAAUGGUGCCGUAACUUCGGGAGAAGGCACGCUGACACGUAGGUGAAGUGAUUUACUCAU